rnacentral:rRNA from 1 species
UGCCAGCAGCCGCGGUAAUACGGAGGGUGCGAGCGUUAAUCGGAAUUACUGGGCGUAAAGCGCACGCAGGCGGUUUGUUAAGCUAGAUGUGAAAGCCCCGGGCUCAACCUGGGAUGGUCAUUUAGAACUGGCAGACUAGAGUCUUGGAGAGGGGAGUGGAAUUCCAGGUGUAGCGGUGAAAUGCGUAGAUAUCUGGAGGAACAUCAGUGGCGAAGGCGGCUCCCUGGCCAAAGACUGACGCUCAUUUGCGAAAGUGGGGGGAGCAAACGGUAUUACACC